rnacentral:rRNA from 1 species
GAUGAACGCUGGCGGCGUGCCUAAUACAUGCAAGUCGAGCGAACAGACUAGGAGCUUGCUCCUCUGACGUUAGCGGCGGACGGGUGAGUAACACGUGGAUAACCUACCUAUAAGACUGGGAUAACUUCGGGAAACCGGAGCUAAUACCGGAUAAUAUAUUGAACCGCAUGGUUCAAUAGUGAAAGACGGUUUUGCUGUCACUUAUAGAUGGAUCCGCGCCGCAUUAGCUAGUUGGUAAGGUAACGGCUUACCAAGGCAACGAUGCGUAGCCGACCUGAGAGGGUGAUCGGCCACACUGGAACUGAGACACGGUCCAGACUCCUACGGGAGGCAGCAGUAGGGAAUCUUCCGCAAUGGGCGAAAGCCUGACGGAGCAACGCCGCGUGAGUGAUGAAGGUCUUCGGAUCGUAAAACUCUGUUAUUAGGGAAGAACAAAUGUGUAAGUAACUAUGCACGUCUUGACGGUACCUAAUCAGAAAGCCACGGCUAACUACGU